AGCGGCGGACGGGUGAGUAACGCGUGGGUAACCUGCCUCAUACAGGGGGAUAACAGUUAGAAAUGACUGCUAAUACCGCAUAAGACCACAGGAUCGCAUGAUCCGGUGGUAAAAACUCCGGUGGUAUGAGAUGGACCCGCGUCUGAUUAGGUAGUUGGUGGGGUAACGGCCUACCAAGCCGACGAUCAGUAGCCGACCUGAGAGGGUGACCGGCCACAUUGGGACUGAGACACGGCCCAA
rnacentral:rRNA from 1 species